rnacentral:miRNA from 1 species
ACGAAACGUUUGUUCGCCACCACAGCAACCUAACUAAAUAUACUAUAUUUAUUGUAUUUUUAUGAUUUAUGAUAAAAAUACGCAAAUAUUUAUUGUUUUUAUCAUAAAUCAUAAAAAUACAAUAAACAUAGUGUAUUUUGUUAGGUUUCUGUGGUGGCGAACAAACGUUUCGU